rnacentral:rRNA from 1 species
AGUCACUGACAUUAGAUACCCGCGUAGUCCCAGCCGUAAACAAUGUGCGUUAGGUGUGUCGGUAACCACGCGUUACUGAUGCGCCGAAGAGAAAUCGUGAAACGCACCACCUGGGAAGUACGGUCGCAAGGCUGAAACUUAAAGGAAUUGGCGGGGAGCACCACAACAGGUGGAGCCUGCGGUUUAAUUGGAUUCAACGCCGGACAUCUCACCGGAUAAGAUAGCUGAAUGAUUGUCAAUCUGAAGGUUUUACAUGACUAGCUG